rnacentral:rRNA from 1 species
UACAGAGGGUGCAAGCGUUGUUCGGAAUUAUUGGGCGUAAAGCGCGUGUAGGCGGCUUUGUGUGUCGGGUGUGAAAGCCCUCGGCUUAACCGAGGAAGUGCGCCCGAAACUGCAGAGCUUGAGUGCCGGAGAGGAUAGCGGAAUACCCGGUGUAGAGGUGAAAUUCGUAGAUAUCGGGUGGAACACCAGUGGCGAAGGCGGCUAUCUGGACGGACACUGACGCUGAGACGCGAAAGCGUGGGGAGCGAACAGG